rnacentral:tRNA from 1 species
AUGUAGCUCAAUGGUAGAGCACCUGCCUAGCGUGCAUGAGGCCCUGGGUUCAAUCCCCAGUGU